GGUGCUAUGGCUGAGUGGUAAAAGCACCGGUUUGCUAAGCCGGGGUCCUUUGGACGUGUUAGGUUCGAUUCCUACUGGCACCG
rnacentral:tRNA from 1 species